rnacentral:rRNA from 1 species
AGAUUGAACGCUGGCGGCAGGCCUAACACAUGCAAGUCGAGCGGUAGAGAGGUGCUUGCACCUCUUGAGAGCGGCGGACGGGUGAGUAAUGCCUAGGAAUCUGCCUAGUGGUGGGGGAUAACGUUCGGAAACGGACGCUAAUACCGCAUACGUCCUACGGGAGAAAGCGGGGGACCUUCGGGCCUCGCGCCAUUAGAUGAGCCUAGGUCGGAUUAGCUAGUUGGUGAGGUAAUGGCUCACCAAGGCGACGAUCCGUAACUGGUCUGAGAGGAUGAUCAGUCACACUGGAACUGAGACACGGUCCAGACUCCUACGGGAGCAGCAGGUGGGGAAUAUUGGACAAUGGGCGAAAGCCUGAUCCAGCCAUGCCGCGUGUGUAGAAGAAGGUCUUCGGAUUGUAAAGCACCGUUAAGGUGGAGGAAGGUUAGUAACGUUAAUACGUUAGCUAAACUUCGAACGUUACCGACUAG